UUAAGUCAAUAAAUAUUGACUAUAUAUUUAUUGUAUAUAAAGUAGCAUGUUAGACAAUAUUGAUUUACUUUUUAUAUAGUAAAGGUUAAUUGCAAAUGAAAGAUUAAAUUUAAAUUGUUUGCUUUCUACAUUUGAUAAGACUGUUACUUAAUAAUAGUGACAAAAUUUUCAUUCUCACUUUUGUUUUCUGUGUAAGACAUAAUUCCUAGUUUAAACAGGGGUCCCCAAGCUCUGGGUGGCCCAGCAGGUGAGCAGCAGGAAAGCCAACAACACUUCAUAUGUGUUUUCAGCUGCUCCCCAUCGCUCACAUUACCACCUGAGCUCUGCCUCCUGUCAGAUCAGCGGUGGCAUUAGAUUCUCGUAGGAGACCCCAGAUGGGACCAUCUAGUGGCAGGAAAACAAGCUCAGGGCUCCUGUUGAUUCUGCAUUAUGGCCUCCAGUGGGAGACUCAACCACAUUCAGCCCUGUGGGAACUGGACACCUUAAACACCACACCACCUGAUGGCUCCUCACCUUUUUUAUUUUUUUAGGUCAUGCACUGAGCACCUUGAAUUUCCUUUUCUAAAGGUCAAAUCUGCUUCCAGAUUCUGCACAGUCCUCUUCCCAAGUUUUGUCCUGAGAAAUGGCCAGAGGGUGACCAUAUUAAGGGCAUUAGAAAAGGGUUGUGCAAAAAGGCUGGGGUAUCCUCUCACAUCAGGGUCAAAAGAUGUCAGUGUGAUCCUUCCAAGACAGAAAUGUUUUCUCUGGACUCAAAAUGCAUUCUGUCCACAUUGAUCACAGCAAUAACGGGGCUCAAUUGUUACAUAAAACAAUUUUGUUCAAGUACUUUUUCUGAGGUCUUCUAUCUAUAGAUUAUAAAAGAAGAAACAAAAACUAUGAACCCAGAUUUUGAAAUUAGAGAUUUUUUUUUUUUUUUAUCAGCCGUCUGCUUAACAUAAAGUACCGUCCCAUUCCGAGUUUUAGUGUUCUACUGAGGGAUGCUCACACACAAGUAAUGUAGUCAAAACAUAAGCACGUUUUGACAUGGCCCCUGAGAAGUAAUGACUACAACUCCGGAUGUGCAAUGCUGAGUCAACUUGUGGGCCUCUCCAGGUUUUCAGUCUAAUUAGUUGUAAAUAAAGAACGAAUACAGAGAUUCUACCAAGAACGAACGGUGAUCGAAAUAAACAAGCUAUUAUGGCCCAAUGCGUGACGCAUUCAUCUUGCGAUGUGUGACAACGUGAAUGCCCAGAGAAUUCCUGCUUCGCUUAUUCAGUGCACAAGACCUCUCGGCUAACCAAGGUAAAUUUUCAUUAAGAAGUCCGAGUACAUUUACUUCCUCUUUGCUCCACGUCACACCUGUUUAAGGGUGAGUACUUCCCAGGUCUUGUCCUCAGAGCUGCGUCCCAGCGCUCAUCACAUGCCAGGUGCCAGCCUCAAUCCGCACCAGCAGGAACGAGCAAUUUGAUUCUAGCCAUCUCCCACAGAGAGGCACCUAGCGGAGGCGGGGAGCUCGCGAGAAAGGCCGGCCCAACCGAGAUCCAGGGUCAGGAGGCGGGGCCGAGGGAGGAGGAAGUCUCGCCUCAGCGCAUACGUCCUCGCGAGAGCGCUAGAAUUCGGCCGGGGAAGCGCGUGCAGAAGAGGAGGUGCCCUACGUUGGACUCGUCGGCCGCCGUAGCCCCUGCUAGGCCAGCCCGGACCAGCCUACUGG